rnacentral:rRNA from 1 species
GACGAACCGUCCUAACGUUGUUCGGAAUCACUGGGCUUAAAGGGCGCGUAGGCAGGUUCGCAAGUCCGGGGUGAAAUCUUUCGGCUUAACCGGAAAAGGGCCUUGGAUACUGCGAGUCUCGAGGGAGGUAGGGGCCUGUGGAACUUUGGGUGGAGCGGUGAAAUGCGUUGAUAUCCAAAGGAACGCCGGUGGCGAAAGCGACGGGCUGGACCUCUUCUGACGCUGAGGCGCGAAAGCUAGGAGAGCAAACGGG